GGACAUGACGUGUGGCUGUCGUAAAAACCCUAUUUGUAAACAACCAGUCCUUUUAACUCGGGGCUGCGUCAUAAACACGGAGCGCUUGGAAGACCACGAUGUCAUCUUCCUUCUGUCAGGAGGAUCAAAGUGAAGCUACAGGAGUUUCAUUAACGUCAACAACUUGGACCGAACAGUUUGUUUUGCUUGAUGAAGCGCAGGAAGGGCAGCCUGGAGAGAAAGAGAAGCCGGGUUGAGCCCACUACCAUCAUCCACGUACCACGAGGAAGAUGAGGGAGAGAAAUGAUCCUACCAUUAAAGAGACUGUGAAAAGAAUGUUGAGAACAUCACCACUCUACAGGAAGACACAGUCCAGUAAUGGGUGUCAGAAGUUCAGUAGUGAACGACAGGUACUGUGGAAAAAUGUGUGUCAUUGUUGUACAAUGUCCUUUGACUCUGUUUACACAAGGUUAACACAAAAAGGUUUGAUUGUAAAGUGAUAUUGGUAUGAAUUCAUGUUAUUCUCCUCUUCACAAGAAACAAACAAUCCAAAUUACCUGCAGAAAGCCCUUGAUGGACGCUUCAGCUGCAUCGUCAGACUGGCCAGACAGCAAGAUGCCAACUUUAAUGCCAAUUUAUUUGUGUAACAUUCUGUGACCAAAUGUAGAAGGCCCUGCCUCAUUCAUUGUAGUAUUAAUGUGUUUGAAUAAGUCAGGCUGCCGAUUACCAGCUACGGAUUAAAGUCAAACAUCUAUUGCUAGCCUCUGUGUUGAUUUCUUUAAUGUUAAGAAUGUUUCUCAUAAGACCUUAU